AUGUAAUAUUAACACUUGAAGGCAUAUUUAUUGUCUAGAGAUACUUUUUUGUGUGUGGGUGUGUAUGUGUGCGUGUGGGUGUUUUGGCUCUAUGUGAUGACUUAUCUUGAAAUUUCAAAGAUGGUUAUAAACGUUAUUAUCUCAACUUAAUGUUUUGAUUUUCUUUAAAUAGUGAUUGUACUUGUCUAAACUUUAUUAAUCUUCUCGUGUCAAUUUUUUGGGAUCUCAUCAAUUUGGUUGCAUUGAGUCCAUCUUUGUCCACUUAAAAUGUCUGAAGUUUUUUUUUAAAAAAUCUAAAAUUUAAUUAUAAUUGUUUUUGUUGCACGAGUGUUCAUGAAAAUCCAGACCCCACAAGUUGAAAUAUACUGGGUUUGUUGUUGUUGUGUUAAAGAAAAUGGACCUUGGCUUUAACUCAACCUCAAAAGGUAUCAUUAGGUGAGGAUCGUCCAAGACCAUAUAAGGAGACAAUAUUCCUUUCCCUCAACCUACAUGUACAAUUAAUACCCCAAUUCCCUGCAAUGCCCAGGAUUGAACAUUUUUAGCAUGGACAACAUAACAUCGGAACCCGACAUAACUAGGAAUUGGGAUGGGUUUGGCUCUGCUCCGUUAUUAAUAAAAUGGAUCUUAGGGUCUAAUUCAACCUAAAAGCUAGCUCAUGAAGUGAGGAUUGCCCAACUCAAGACCAUAUAAUGAGUUUGUGAGAUAGCACGGGAGAAAAAUAGAUUAUUGAUAUAAUGAUUAUUUAUACAGUAUAUAUCCUACUCUUAAUUCUAUGUGGAACUAGGACUUAUUCAUAGUAUUUAAUGCACU
rnacentral:lncRNA from 1 species